rnacentral:rRNA from 1 species
GACGAACGCUGGCGGCGUGCUUAACACAUGCAAGUCGAACGAUGAACCCGGAGCUUGCUCCGGUGGAUUAGUGGCGAACGGGUGAGUAACACGUGAGUAACCUGCCCUUGACUCUGGGAUAACUGCGGGAAACUGUAGCUAAUACCGGAUACGACCCUCGGCGGCAUCGCCAGGGGGUGGAAAGAAUUUCGGUCAAGGAUGGACUCGUGGCCUAUCAGCUAGUUGGUGAGGUAACGGCUCACCAAGGCGACGACGGGUAGCCGGCCUGCGAGGGUGACCGGCCACACUGGGACUGAGACACGGCCCAGACUCCUACGGGAGGCAGCGGUGGGGAAUAUUGCACAAUGGGCGCGAGCCUGAUGCAGCAACGCCGCGUGAGGGAUGACGGCCUUCGGGUUGUAAACCUCUUUUAGUAGGGAAGAAGCGAAAGUGACGGUACCUGCAGAAAAAGCACCGGCUAACUACGUGCCAGCCGCCGCCGUAA